rnacentral:rRNA from 1 species
GACGAACGCUGGCGGCGUUCUUAACACAUGCAAGUCGAACGGAAAGGCCCUGCUUUUGUGGGGUGCUCGAGUGGCGAACGGGUGAGUAACACGUGAGUAACCUGCCCUUGACUUUGGGAUAACUUCAGGAAACUGGGGCUAAUACCGGAUAGGAGCUCCUGCUGCAUGGUGGGGGUUGGAAAGUUUCGGCGGUUGGGGAUGGACUCGCGGCUUAUCAGCUUGUUGGUGGGGUAGUGGCUUACCAAGGCUUUGACGGGUAGCCGGCCUGAGAGGGUGACCGGCCACAUUGGGACUGGGAUACGGCCCAGACUCCUACGGGAGGCAGCAGUGGGGAAUAUUGCACAAUGGGCGGAAGCCUGAUGCAGCAACGCCGCGUGCGGGAUGACGGCCUUCGGGUUGUAAACCGCUUUCGCCUGUGACGAAGCGUGAGUGACGGUAAUGGGUAAAGAAGCACCGGCUAACUACGUG